UACGGGGGGAGCAAGCGUUGUUCGGAUUUACUGGGCGUAAAGGGCGCGUAGGCGGUCAGCACAAGUCAGUUGUGAAAUCUCCGGGCUUAACUCGGAAAGGUCAACUGAUACUGUGCGACUAGAGUGCAGAAGGGGCAACUGGAAUUCUCGGUGUAGCGGUGAAAUGCGUAGAUAUCAGGAGGAACACCGGUGGCGAAGGCGGCUAUCUGGACAGAAACUGACGCUGAGGCGCGAAAGCUAGGGGAGCAAACAGG
rnacentral:rRNA from 1 species